rnacentral:rRNA from 1 species
CGGCAGCACGGACUUCGGUCUGGUGGCGAGUGGCGAACGGGUGAGUAAUGUAUCGGAACGUGCCCAGUAGCGGGGGAUAACUACGCGAAAGCGUAGCUAAUACCGCAUACGCCCUACGGGGGAAAGCAGGGGAUCGCAAGACCUUGCACUAUUGGAGCGGCCGAUAUCGGAUUAGCUAGUUGGUGGGGUAACGGCUCACCAAGGCGACGAUCCGUAGCUGGUUUGAGAGGACGACCAGCCACACUGGGACUGAGACACGGCCCAGACUCCUACGGGAGGCAGCAGUGGGGAAUUUUGGACAAUGGGGGAAACCCUGAUCCAGCCAUCCCGCGUGUGCGAUGAAGGCCUUCGGGUUGUAAAGCACUUUUGGCAGGAAAGAAACGUCGCGGGUUAAUACCCCGCGGAACUGACGGUACCUGCAGAAUAAGCACCGGCUAACUACGUGCCAGCAGCCGCGGUAAUACGUAGGGUGCAAGCGUUAAUCGGAAUUACUGGGCGUAAAGCGUGCGCAGGCGGUUCGGAAAGAAAGAUGUGAAAUCCCAGAGCUUAACUUUGGAACUGCAUUUUUAACUACCGGGCUAGAGUGUGUCAGAGGGAGGUGGAAUUCCGCGUGUAGCAGUGAAAUGCGUAGAUAUGCGGAGGAACACCGAUGGCGAAGGCAGCCUCCUGGGAUAACACUGACGCUCAUGCACGAAAGCGUG